rnacentral:lncRNA from 1 species
UUUUUUUCUGGAUUAGAAAGUAAAAACACUGAUAAAAUCUGGUGCUUGGAGUCAGAGAUAAGUCCAUAUCGAAAUAUAUUAUACUCUGUCUGUAAAGGCUUAUUUGUAAUAAGAACAUAGCCUUUUCUGCCUUAAUCACUUAGAUUAUAAACUCUUGGGAACUAUUUCACACUAUGUAGCUCUUAGCACAGCUUCAGGCUGAGUGGUCACGAGGCACUUCUGCAAAGUAGAUGCAAUUAAUCAUAAUAAUGUUGUCAUACGCAAACUUUUUCCAUACAGCAAUCUCAGCUUAGUUUGAGAUUCCAGAAACACCAUUUCGUUUGGCACCUCUUCUGGACGCAACGUGCCACAGGAGCCUUGUCCUGCUCAGGGUGCUGGCAGGAGCAGUCUCACAGAACUACAAGACCUUUUGGGCUAGCGUAUUUAAGGAAGCAGGUUUUGGAUGAUGAUCCACUGAAGAUGGUGGCAAAACACUUAUUUUCUUCUCUGCAGAAGGGCUCCUUUCCUCGUGUUGACUAGGAAUUCAUUAUUGAAAUAUAAAGAUUUUAGAACAUGCAGCAAUCUAUGCAGCUUCUAACUUAGAGUUUCUGCACCAAACCAAGACGACUGAUGUAACAUGACAAAAUCUGUACUUGUAGAGAUCAGAAAGAAUAAAGAAAGGAUAAGAGGGAACAAACAAACUACUUUUUCUAGAAGAAGAGGCGUUCAGCCGAGUGGCUUCAGUCACGCUGGCUCAGACAUAAGGGAAGGAAACUGAAUGCAAAGGAACUCUGUGGGUGUAGAUGUCAGUGAGAAGAGAAGCUGUCAAAAGUCUGCCUAGCCUGUUGCACUGAAGCUCCUCUGGAAACUGCUUUGCAUCACUUAUUUUGAAUAUGAGGCCAUGUCCGUAAAACAAGAUGGAGCAAAAAUGAAACUAUGGAGACCUCAUCAGUGCAAGAUAGUACUCAUCAGCCGGAGACAAACCAUGUACUUUCUGCUCAGAAGAAUCCCAGGAAAAAAAAGGGAUUACCUGAAAAUACAAAUGCAAGAAAGGACAGCUCAUUAAUUGAAAGAGAGGAGUCAAGAGCCCAGCUGGAAGGAACUUGGAAUGGGGAGGAGGCACAGACUCAGAGGACCAACGUGAAGCAAAGCAAGCUGUUUCUUGAAAUAGGAGAGUUAAAAUCCCAGCUCAAAAGGACAAAGAAAGGAGAAAAGGAAAAACUCUUCAUUCUGGAAAAUGAGAAGGAUGCCUGCCUGAAGGAAAUAGCAGAGCUGAAGGCCUGUGUUAAACGGAGGAUUUUCUACCCGAAGAAUUUGAAGGUUUUUGCAGGCCUUACAGGAGUUUUCUGUCUGAAGACAGAGGCCUCAUGUGAGAAUGGUGUGGAAAGUGCUCUGGGAAGCAGUGUGCUUAAAGGCCCUCAAUGUACUUGGACAUUCCCCCCCUAG